rnacentral:lncRNA from 1 species
CCUGGGUGACCAAAUGAAAUCCCAUCUCUAAAAAAAUAUAUAGCAUAUAUUUAAUGUUCCUGCCUGUUUCCUGACUUAGAGCCCCUAAAACUCUUAAAAUUUCUGAAUAAGUGUCUAAUGAAGUACAUUAAUGAGAUGAAUGGCACCUGUGUAGCCUCAGGAGGGGGCUGGUUGCUAGCAGACCUGAGCAAGUGAUUAGAGGGUUAGAACAUCCAUUCCCACCCUAGCUAACCCCCUGGAAGGGGGAUUGAAGGUUGAGUUGCUCAGCAGUGGCCAAUAAUUUCAUCAGUCAUGCCAACGUAGUGACACCUCCAUAAACCCCAAGAGGAGAGAGACAGACUUUG